AAUCGGGGAAGGUUUUUGGUGACAACACCUGGAGAUAUCAGAAGUGAGAAUGCUGACAUGAGUAACGAGAAAUCCUGUGAAAAACACGAUCGCCUGCCAGUGGAAGGCUUUCUGCGUUCAGUCAAUCUACGCAGAGUGAAUCGGUCCCUAAGGAACCCCCGAAAGGGCUGCCGUCCGAUGGGUACACGAAAGUGACGAAGUUGCUUUGACUACAGAACUAUGCCUGUCUGUUGGAGCGAAUUGGAUGAUCGGGCCGAGGGCUGCCCCCUCUUCCCCUCACUCUCCUUUCCCUAAUAUGAACCUUGAGUCAUCAAAGCCUUUCUGACUCGGCCUGGCCCGGUCGCCCUACGCGACUGGCGCUUCAAAAGGCGAAACUCUCGUCGUAGUUUGGCGACCUAAGGGGCGGACACUUUUUUGAUCUAAAGGCGAAGACUCUGAGUGGGCGAACACUCGGCCCAGCGGGCGAACAUGUCGGGCUCCGACUCCGCGCACCUACUGAGAGUUCUUCCUUCCUUAUAGACUUUCAGGGAAGACGAUCUCUUUCUUUCCUUAGCUUUAGCAGCUGAGGCGUGAGCAAGAAGACCAGGUUCUCGGCAUCUCAGAAUCAGAAGGAAGGUCUCAUUCCAGUUUGAUUUCCAUGCCUACAAGAAAGAUAGAAGAUCGGAAAUGCCGAAUCUUUAGAAUAUCUGUUUGUGAUUCAAAGCAAAGUGCUUGAACUGCACUUUUUUCUUCAAUUCAAUAGGGUUAGACCGAAUCCAUCAUGAAGUUCUACCCGUUUGGUCAGGUACUUCAUUAUUAGUGUGCUGAACAGAUAUCCCAAAAACGAGCUAAAAGCCAUAGCAAGAGAUAUAGCGUUGGCUUCCGACUUAGUGAGCUCAUAAACUGGCAAAUAAAUUCAUUUGAAAUAAAAGAGAAAGUCGGGUCUAGCUCUUAUUUGAACUAGAACAUAGUCAAAAGCUAUUGGCUGCCUAGUUUUAGGUUUAGAGUCCUCCUCAUUCUUUCCCAAGCUUCCGAAUGGGGAGAAUAUUGACGGCUGCAGCAUUAUCCGCCAAUACCCUUGAUAGAGGCACCCCAUCCAUGUGGACUCGCUUUAUGCUUGAGAAAGAGCCUUCCCGGCGAUCUGCUUCAUGAAUGGAAGGGUGGAACCAAGGAAGACAACUGAAUACUAGAAAUUCAAAGAGAAGGAUUUCCAGAGGUAAAUAUCUGGCAUUGAGCCCGCCUAUCAUAAGUAUGAGUUGGGAGAGCGAGAUAGAGACAAAUACCCAAUAGAUGGUGAAAAAGCUUUCCUGCACGCGGGAACCUUCCUUCUGUCUUGCAGUCUUGAUGCUCAAUUCUAUUCCCCCGCUCUUGCAAGGCUAGCCGGGAGGGAGGUCUUUUUUCGGGUUUGGUUUGCCUAGAUAGGAAGUGCGCUUGCAGUGCUUCUAGUAACGAUUUUGAAGUGCAAUAUCUUGGGGUAUGAUUGCUUCUUUCUUCGGCUUAAUAGGGCUUGUGGUUCGUUAUCAGUACGUAUUUUAGAGCGAUAUAACCUCGUUGCCCGCCUCUCAAUGUGGUGCCUUUCACUCUGCUCUGUCAACACUUUCUCGCUAUGCCGGAAGGUAGGAUUUUAGGUCUUUUCCCAAGCUAUGAAUCUUCAUCAAUGGCAUAGUAAUAAGAGAGAAAGAAAUUAGUGAUUUGAUGUUCCAUCCGCAAACACGACGAAAAAGGUAGCCGAACCACCUCC
rnacentral:lncRNA from 1 species